UUAAGUCGACCGCCUGGGGAGUACGGCCGCAAGGUUAAAACUCAAAUGAAUUGACGGGGGCCCGCACAAGCGGUGGAGCAUGUGGUUUAAUUCGAUGCAACGCGAAGAACCUUACCUGGUCUUGACAUCCACGGAAGUUUUCAGAGAUGAGAAUGUGCCUUCGGGAACCGUGAGACAGGUGCUGCAUGGCUGUCGUCAGCUCGUGUUGUGAAAUGUUGGGUUAAGUCCCGCAACGAGCGCAACCCUUAUCCUUUGUUGCCAGCGGUCCGGCCGGGAACUCAAAGGAGACUGCCAGUGAUAAACUGGAGGAAGGUGGGGAUGACGUCAAGUCAUCAUGGCCCUUACGACCAGGGCUACACACGUGCUACAAUGGCGCAUACAAAGAGAAGCGACCUCGCGAGAGCAAGCGGACCUCAUAAAGUGCGUCGUAGUCCGGAUUGGAGUCUGCAACUCGACUCCAUGAAGUCGGAAUCGCUAGUAAUCGUGGAUCAGAAUGCCACGGUGAAUACGUUCCCGGGCCUUGUACACACCGCCCGUCACACCAUGGGAGUGGGUUGCAAAAGAAGUAGGUAGCUUAACCUUCGGGAGGGCGCUUACCACUUUGUGAUUCAUGACUGGGGUGAAGUCGUAACAAGGUAACCGUAGGGGAACCUGCGGUUGGAUC
rnacentral:rRNA from 1 species